rnacentral:tRNA from 1 species
CGGGGCGUAGCGCAGCCUGGUAGCGCGCCUGCUUUGGGAGCAGGAUGUCGGAGGUUCGAGUCCUCUCGCCCCGACCA